rnacentral:lncRNA from 12 species
CUUAUUUUCUAGUGAUGAGACCCACAGUUAAAUAUAAUUUAAACACUGACAGGUAGUGAGAGACGUUAGAAACAUCAAAACUUCCGUAUCCAGUAUGCAAACCUUGGCCGCGUGUGCCCUUAUCUCAGUGACUCUGGCAUUCAAAAUAUAUUGGGCUCAACAAAGGAAAUCUCCUCCCCGCUUUUUCUUCAUGAUAAAAACCCUCAUCAUAUGGGAUCGGCCCUCUCACUGACUUUUUAAGUGUAUAGUACACCGUUGUGACUAUAAGCAUAGUGUUGUUUAAGGAUCUCUAGAAUGUGUUGUUUAAGGAUCUCUAGAAUGUUUUCAUCUUUUUUUUUUUUUUUUUUUUAAAGAUUUUAUUUAUUUGAGAGAGAGAGAAAGAGAGACAGGCUCACUGCUGAACAGGGAGCCAGACACGGGGCUCCAUUCCAGGACCUGGGGCACGACUGGAGCAGAAGGCAGACACUUAACCGACCGAGCCCCCCACGUGCCCCUGUUUUCAUCUUUCAAAUCUCAGUGUAUUAGUCAGGAUUCCUCAGAGCAACAGAUAAGAGGUGUUCUUCGGUCCCUUCCCUGUCGCCACAGCAGCUCUGGGCUACCUGCACCUGCCUAGGACUCCCUGGCACCCUCACCAGUUUGCAUCUUGAGCCUCGGAAUCUCAUCGCCGUCGAGGGAGUUCUCUGGAAGCCUGCGGUGCACUGUGGCCACCUGGAAGAUUGGGAGAGGCCCCAGCGGCGGGGGCAGAGGCCGGCACCCCCACACCAGUGGGACAACGGGGACGCUUGCUGUACGUGGUUCCCUGACGGCGGACGGGGGGUGGGGGGGCUCAGUCCCAGGGCCCAGGGGGGACCCCGAGGCUCACGACCUUGCAGGGCUUCCUCCCAUCGCCCUGGUAACCACCGUCCUACUGUCCCCCUUAGGACCUCCAUCCUUUCACGGUCUCCUAAGGGUGGGAACGUGCAGUUCUGGCCCUGGCUUACCCAGUGCGCACGCUGUCCUCCAGCUUUAUUUGUGGGGUCCCAACCGGCAGGACGCCCCCCCUUUAUAAAGGCCGGAUAACGCUCGUACAUUCUCUGUCUCAGGGUCUGCUGCUGGAGCCCGGGGGCACUUCCCUGCCUCGGCCGGGAGCCCCGCGGCAGGGUGCGUGCGGGCGGCCGGCGCCCCAGGGAUUCACACCCGCGGUGGCACACUCAGAAGUGGGGUUGCUGGAGCCCACGCGAGUUCCAUUUGUA